rnacentral:rRNA from 1 species
AUGAACGCUAGCGGCAGGCUUAAUACAUGCAAGUCGAGGGGCAUCAAGGUACACGAAAGUGUAUUGUUGGCGACCGGCGGACGGGUGAGUAAUAGGUAGGUAACCUACCUCAUACUGAGGCAUAGCUGGGAGAAAUUCCAGGUAAUUCCUCAUGAGGUUAUAUGACACAUGUGAUAUAAUCAAAGGUAUCGCAAGGUACUGGUAUGAGAUGGGCUUACUGACCAUUAGCUAGUUGGUGAGAUAAGAGCUCACCAAGGCGAAGAUGGUUAGGGGUUUUGAGAGAGAGAUCCCCCACAUUGGAACUGAGAUACGGUCCAGACUCCUACGGGAGGCAGCAGUAGGGAAUAUUGGGCAAUGGGCGGAAGCCUGACCCAGCCAUGCCGCGUGAGCGAAGAAGGCCUUCGGGUUGUAAAGCUCUUUCGGCCGGGAAGAAAUCGCAUGGGUUAAUACCCUGUGCGGAUGACGGUACCGGCAUAAGAAGCACCGGCUAACUACGUG